rnacentral:rRNA from 1 species
UGGGGAAUUUUGGGCAAUGGCGAAAGCCUGAUCCAGCAAUGCCGCGUGUGUGAAGAAGGCCUUCGGGUUGUAAAGCACUUUUGUCCGGAAAGAAAUCCUUGGCUCUAAUACAGUCGGGGGAUGACGGUACCGGAAGAAUAAGCACCGGCUAACUACGUGCCAGCAGCCGCGGUAAUACGUAGGGUGCAAGCGUUAAUCGGAAUUACUGGGCGUAAAGCGUGCGCAGGCGGUUUGCUAAGACCGAUGUGAAAUCCCCGGGCUCAACCUGGGAACUGCAUUGGUGACUGGCAGGCUAGAGUAUGGCAGAGGGGGGUAGAAUUCCACGUGUAGCAGUGAAAUGCGUAGAGAUGUGGAGGAAUACCGAUGGCGAAGGCAGCCCCCUGGGCCAAUACUGACGCUCAUGCACGAAAGCGUGGGGAGCAAACAGGAUUAGAUACCCUGGUAGUCCACGCCCUAAACGAUGUCAACUAGUUGUUGGGGAUUCAUUUCCUUAGUAACGUAGCUAACGCGUGAAGUUGACCGCCUGGGGAGUACGGUCGCAAGAUUAAAACUUAAAGGAAUUGACGGGGUCAUAGCUGUUUCCU